GUGCAUAGAGCCGUGACUUGGCCUCUCUGCCACAGGCUUCAUUUCUUCUUGCCUUUCCUUUGUCUUUCCUCCCCUUCCACCCCACUUCUGCGCUGACACUGGCUUCACUUCACUUUCCCUUUGAAGACACGUGCUGGGCACACAAGCACCUACUCGGAGGAUGACAGAAGCUUGGGAGCUGUGCCCUGAAAUUCAGUGCUCACUCCCUGCCUGCCUGCAUAGAGUCCAGGGCAAUGAGGAACAGGAAACACAGCCUAUUGGUAGAGGCUGCCUGGGUGAGGAUGGGUGUCAGAAAAGAGUUCUUUGGGGUCUCACUCUCUCGCCCUGGCUGGAGUGCAUGAUGCGAUCUUGGCUCAACUGCAACCUCGACCUCCUGAGUUCAAGCGAUUCUCGUGCCUCAGCCUCCCGAGUAGCUGUGAUUACAAGUGUGUGCCACCAUGCCGGGCUAAUUUUUGUAUUUUUAGUAAAGAUAGGGUUUCGGCAUGUUGGCCAGGCUGGUUUUGAACUCCUGGCCUCAAGUGAUCCGCCCAACUUGGCCUCCCAAAGUGCUGAGAUUACAGGCUUGAGCC
rnacentral:lncRNA from 10 species